GAUGAACGCUGGCGGCGUGCCUAACACAUGCAAGUCGAACGGUUAAGGCGGCUUCGGCCGCGAAUAAAGUGGCGAACGGGUGAGUAGCGCGUGACCGACCUUCCCCCCGCACCGGGACAACCGCGGGAAACCGCGGCUGAUACCGGGUACUCCGGGGCCCGCGCAUGGGGGCCCCGGGAAAGCUCCGGCGGCGGGGGAUGGGGUCGCGGCCCAUCAGGUAGUAGGCGGGGCAACGGCCCACCUAGCCGACGACGGGUAGCCGGGUUGAGAGACCGACCGGCCACAUUGGGACUGAGACACGGCCCAGACUCCUACGGGAGGCAGCAGUGGGGAAUUUUGCGCAAUGGGGGCAACCCUGACGCAGCAACGCCGCGUGCGGGACGACGGCCUUCGGGUUGUAAACCGCUUUCAGCAGGGAAGAACCUAAGACGGUACCUGCAGAAGAAGCCCCGGCUAACUACGUGCCAGCCGCCGCGGUAA
rnacentral:rRNA from 1 species